ACGGAAGGCAGCAGUGGGGGAUAUUGCACAAUGGGCGCAAGCCUGAUGCAGCAACGCCGCGUGAGGGAAGACGGUUUUCGGAUUGUAAACCUCUGUCUUUGGUGAAGAUAAUGACGGUAGCCAAGGAGGAAGCCACGGCUAACUACGUGCCAGCAGCCGCGGUAAUACGUAGGUGGCAAGCGUUGUCCGGAAUUAUUGGGUGUAAAGGGAGCGCAGGCGGGACAGCAAGUUGGAUGUGAAAUACCGCAGCUUAACUGCGGAGCUGCAUCCAAAACUGUUGUUCUUGAGUGGAGUAGAGGCAGGCGGAAUUCCGAGUGUAGCGGUGAAAUGCGUAGAUAUUAGGAGGAACACCAGUGGCGAAGGCGGCCUGCUGGACGACAACUGACGCUGAGGCGCGAAAGCGUGGGGAGCAAACAGGAUUAGAUACCCUGGUA
rnacentral:rRNA from 1 species